rnacentral:rRNA from 1 species
GACGAACGCUGGCGGCGUGCUUAACACAUGCAAGUCGAACGGAAAGGCCCUGCUUUUGUGGGGUGCUCGAGUGGCGAACGGGUGAGUAACACGUGAGUAACCUGCCCUUGACUUUGGGAUAACUUCAGGAAACUGGGGCUAAUACCGGAUAGGAGCUCCUGCUGCAUGGUGGGGGUUGGAAAGUUUCGGCGGUUGGGGAUGGACUCGCGGCUUAUCAGCUUGUUGGUGGGGUAGUGGCUUACCAAGGCUUUGACGGGUCGCCGGCCUGAGAGGGUGGCCGGCCACAUUGGGACUGAGAUACGGCCCAGACUGCUACGGGAGGCAGCAGUGGGAAAUAUUGCACAAUGGGCGGAAGCCUGAUGCAGCAGCGCCGCGUGCGGGAUGACGGCCUUCGGGUUGUAAACCGCUUUCGCCUGUGACGAAGCGUUAGUGACGGUAAUGGGUAAAGAAGCACCGGCUAACUACGUG